CUAUAUUUUGACAGGCGUAAAGCAGCAUUAAACUAGUUAUAUACAUAUAUAUGUAGGUAUGUACAUGUUUUUUUUUUAAAUAAUUAAAGCAAAAGGGUUUCUUUCAAAUGAGGCUAGAUUACUGAGUUUUAUUACUUUGUUCAAUAAAGUAUUAUUUGCGCAAGAGACAGGGCGUGGAAGCGAUUGAUUAUUGGGUUGUGAUAUGCAAAUACAUGCAGAUUCAUACAUACAUAUACAUAUGUAUAUGGUACAUAUGUAGGUACAUAUGUGGCUGACAGGGGAAAGGACGCAUAUGCGAACGAAAAAAAGUUAAAUAUGAAUAUACAUAUGAAUUUGUCAUCUGUCAGACACGCGAAAAAAGCCACCAUACAGUCA